rnacentral:rRNA from 1 species
UGAACGCUGGCGGCAUGCCUUACACAUGCAAGUCGAACGGCAGCGGGGACUUCGGUCCGCCGGCGAGUGGCGAACGGGUGAGUAACGUAUCGGAACGUACCUUUCAGUGGGGGAUAACGUAGCGAAAGUUACGCUAAUACCGCAUAUUCUGUGAGCAGGAAAGCAGGGGAUCGCAAGACCUUGCGCUGAUUGAGCGGCCGAUAUCAGAUUAGCUAGUUGGUGAGGUAAAGGCUCACCAAGGCGACGAUCUGUAGCGGGUCUGAGAGGAUGAUCCGCCACACUGGAACUGAGACACGGUCCAGACUCCUACGGGAGGCAGCAGUGGGGAAUAUUGGACAAUGGGCGCAAGCCUGAUCCAGCCAUGCCGCGUGUGUGAAGAAGGCCUCGGUUGUAAGCACUUUGUUGGUAAGAAAGACGGUCGGCGUAAUACCGGUCGUUCUGACGUACCGAACGAACUAAGACACCGGCGUAACUUACGUGUCCAGCAGCC